rnacentral:lncRNA from 1 species
CCACCCAUCAUCCCUCCCUCCACGUUGCCCCUGGCCCAGCCACUCUGGGUCAGAGGAACCUUUGACCAAAUCUGCUCACACCCCAGCAGCUGGGCGACCUCGGGCAGCCUGGAAACCGUCACCCCUCUCGGAAAGGGACGCGGGACCCAGGGGACCCACUUAGCCUGCAGGAAGGUGGCUGCUUCGGCUUCCAGCCACCCCAGGCCUCUGCACGCAAGCAGGCCGCCAGGGCCGGGGCACACUGGAUGGCUGGUAGCAGCUCAGGGACAAAGCCGCACGUGGCACACGGCUUUGGGGCGCGCACAGCCGUGGACGGAGGCGACAGCUGCUACCCCAGAAUAUCCUGCAUCCCUGCUGCUGCGGGAGGCCCACAGGCUCGGGGGCCGCGCCGUCCCCGUGGGCACGGGGUGUCUGUCCACCUGUCUGCUCCUCCACGCACAGCGCCUCCCAGACGCCCCUGGCCACCUGUGUCCCCACGGGGAUGGGACUGGACCCGGCGCUUCUCCCGGGGCUGGGGAAUGUCACGGGUCCCCUGCCCGGGCCCUGCAUGCCCCAGCCGCCACACGUGUUAAAGGCACCUCGGGAAGACUUCAGGGAACGCACGUGACCAGCGUGACAAGCUGUGCCACUCAGCACCCAGCCUGCCCCAGACACGCACACGGGACAGAGCCCGGAACAGCUGCCUGGGGAGGCCCCCGGCCACCACGCUGCCCCCUCACUGGCCGUCUGACUCAAGUUCCAGGCCCAGCCCCCUACUGCUUGAGACCCCUGGAGACGGCCCGGCAGCCCCGUGGCGGUGCCACCUGCCGAUGGCCUCAUCGCUGGGGAGGGGCUGAGGCAGGAUCGGGCUCCUGGGUCCUCACACCCAGUGCACCAGGGCCUCCGGGAGCCCCCUCUGCUGCUGACCCGGGCUCCUGGGCGAGCGGCAUCCGCAGGGCUCCGGGCCUUGGAGCCCGACGUGACUGGCCACUCACUUCUGGCCUGCCCGUUCUCCAGCGGCCUUCCCGGGCCUGUGCCGUGAACACGGAACAUCCCAUGUCAUUUCAGACCCCGCGGCCCCGAGAAAGCAGCUGUGGCCCUGGGCCCCCGGAACGGGCCCCGCGCGUCCGGCUCACUGGCGGUCUGGGCGCAGCUCAGCCCUGGCUCCCUUGGUUCUCGGGCUGGCGGGACGGGACGGAGGUGGGAAAAACGAACUGA